rnacentral:rRNA from 3 species
AAACUUUCAACAAUGGAUCUCUUGGUUCCCGCAUCGAUGAAGAACGCAGCGAAAUGCGAUAACUAAUGUGAAUUGCAGAAUUCCGUGAAUCAUCGAGUCUUUGAACGCACAUUGCGCCCCCUGGUAUUCCGGGGGGCAUGCCUGUCCGAGCGUCAUU